rnacentral:rRNA from 1 species
AACGUAGGAGACAAACGUUAUCCGGAGUUACUGGGCGUAAAGGGCGUGUAGGUGGUAGUGUAAGUCUGGCGUAAAAUUUUUCGGCUUAACCGGGAAAGGUCGUCGGAUACUGCACAACUAGAGGACGGUAGAGGCGUGUGGAAUUCCGGGUGUAGUGGUGAAAUGCGUAGAGAUCCGGAGGAACACCAGUGGCGAAGGCGACACGCUGGGCCGUACCUGACACUGAUGCGCGACAGCAUGGGGAGCAAACAGG